UACGAAGGGGGCUAGCGUUGUUCGGAAUUACUGGGCGUAAAGCGCGCGCAGGCGGCUAUCCAAGUCAGUGGUGAAAGCCCGGAGCUCAACUCCGGAACUGCCAUUGAAACUGUUUAGCUUGAGGACGAGAGAGGUGAGUGGAAUUCCCAGUGUAGAGGUGAAAUUCGUAGAUAUUGGGAAGAACACCGGUGGCGAAGGCGGCCAUCUGGACGGUGACUGACGCUGAGACGGCGAAAAGCGUGGGGAGCAAACAGG
rnacentral:rRNA from 1 species